GUGCUUGCUUCAGAGCACAGAUACUAAAAUCGGAACGAUACAGAGAAGAUUAGCAUGGCCCCCGCGCAAGUACGACACACAAAUUCAUGAAGCGUUCCAUAUUUUU